rnacentral:rRNA from 1 species
UACGUAGGGUGCGAGCGUUAAUCGGAAUUACUGGGCGUAAAGCGUGCGCAGGCGGUGAUGUAAGACAGUUGUGAAAUCCCCGGGCUCAACCUGGGAAUUGCAUCUGUGACUGCAUCGCUAGAGUACGGUAGAGGGGGAUGGAAUUCCGCGUGUAGCAGUGAAAUGCAUAGAUAUGCGGAGGAACACCGAUGGCGAAGGCAAUCCCCUGGACCUGUACUGACGCUCAUGCACGAAAGCGUGGGGAGCAAACAGG